rnacentral:lncRNA from 1 species
UGCAUGUAUUGUUUGUUUUGUAUGAUUUACAGUUAAAUUGUGAAACCACAAAUUAAAUGUAAACGGAAAAUUGCUUGAUUAAGCGAAUAAAUGAAUGGUAGCCUUACUGGAUAUCUUGGGAGAUAAUGGAUGAACCGGGUACAUAAGGAACCGUACCGUGACGUUGCCUCAUACUGGACGGGGUAUUGAGGGAUGGUAUAUUUUGGUGCUCAUACCGGACGAGGUAUGGGGAUGGCCAAAUAGUUGAUAAAGUUGAAUAAGAGUU